rnacentral:pre_miRNA from 1 species
UAGCUACUCCCUCCGUUCGGAAUUACUUGUCUUGGAAAUGGAUGUAUCUAGAACUAAAAUACGUCUAGAUACAUCCAUUUUCGCGACAAGUAAUUCCGAACGGAGGGAGUAGAAA